UCGAACGAUGAACCNUUCGGUGGGGAUUAGUGGCGAACGGGUGAGUAACACGUGGGCAAUCUGCCCUGCACUCUGGGACAAGCCCUGGAAACGGGGUCUAAUACCGGAUACUGACCAUCGAGGGCAUCUUUGAUGGUCGAAAGCUCCGGCGGUGCAGGAUGAGCCCGCGGCCUAUCAGCUUGUUGGUGAGGUAAUGGCUCACCAAGGCGACGACGGGUAGCCGGCCUGAGAGGGCGACCGGCCACACUGGGACUGAGACACGGCCCAGACUCCUACGGGAGGCAGCAGUGGGGAAUAUUGCACAAUGGGCGAAAGCCUGAUGCAGCGACGCCGCGUGAGGGAUGACGGCCUUCGGGUUGUAAACCUCUUUCAGCAGGGAAGAAGCGAAAGUGACGGUACCUGCAGAAGAAGCGCCGGCUAACUACGUGCCAGCAGCCGCGGUAAUACGUAGGGCGCGAGCGUUGUCCGGAAUUAUUGGGCGUAAAGAGCUCGUAGGCGGCUUGUCGCGUCGGUUGUGAAAGCCCGGGGCUUAACCCCGGGUCUGCAGUCGAUACGGGCAGGCUAGAGUUCGGUAGGGGAGAUCGGAAUUCCUGGUGUAGCGGUGAAAUGCGCAGAUAUCAGGAGGAACACCGGUGGCGAAGGCGGAUCUCUGGGCCGAUACUGACGCUGAGGAGCGAAAGCGUGGGGAGCGAACAGGAUU
rnacentral:rRNA from 1 species